rnacentral:lncRNA from 1 species
AACUCUACAAAAGUUUUCAAUCAACAAAAAAGGGAAUUGCAGAGCUUGAAUAAUAAAAUAUUUAAAAGUCUGUGUGUUAUUUUGACAAGAACUCUACAAAAGUUUUCAAUCAACAAAAAAGGGAAUUGCAGAGCUUGAAUAGGAGUGAGUCUUAUUUUUAAAAAAGAUAUAUGUUUAGUUAAUUUAUGAUUUACAUUCAUAAAACUUAUAGUGGUCUUCUAAUCAUAUUUUAGAAUAAUUUACUUUUACAAAGACACCUGUUUUUUUUUGUGAGGGCGAGAUAUGAUAAUACAAUAUAAUUCUAUUCGACUUUUGAUAUACAAAUUAUUUAAUAAUUUUUAUUAAUUUAUUGAUAAGCG